AGGGUUUCGGAAAAAAAUUACGGCAGGAGCAUCCAGAUUUUUGCUACGCUUUUUUGAAUUUGUUAUAUUUCUGUUGUCAGUGGAUUUGCAGAAUGGAUAAUAAGAAAUUGCUACAAGUUAGAAGUUGCCCUGUUGAGAACUUAAGAAUGAAUGAUCCAGAAAUGCAUAUGCUUUUGAUUGUCUCUUUUUCAAAUAUAGAUGUGAACAAGACACAUUGUAGUGGAUUUUUUUUUUAAAUGAUUUUUUUCCUUUAAAAAUGGAUUUCUUUGUAGUUUGUAUGCUUCUUUUAGAUACUUUACAACAAGAGACCGGCCUGUAGUUCAUGAAAGUGAGUAAUAUAUCAACUUAAAUUAUAAAUAUUA